UUCUGCAGGAACAGAAUGCAACACAAUCCGUGGAUGGCACUUCCCAAGGAGAUACACACACCAGAUGGAUGCCUUCCUGGCCGGUCCGGGACCAGCAGACCGCAGCAUCAUUACCGUCAAGUCAAUAAGGAGAUAUAACUUUUGUUACCAGCCCCAUAUCGAUCUGUGCAAGAUACCUUCUCCCACCAUGCACUAGGCUAAUCGCCAGUCUUCCGGUAUCACUCCAUCUUUCUGUGGUUAACUUGAUGCAGCUCGCAGCAUCCAGACCGUGCGACGGUGCGACGAUCCAAUCAGCAGCGCUGAGUGAAGGCUUGGCCACCUAAGCAACCAAUUGCUUUGGACUUAGGGCGUGUCCACUCUCAGGAGGCUGUACCACUAUCAGAAGAAGAGGGUGACAUGAAGAUAACAGCAGAGCUGCUGCUUCCCUCACCAUUCGCACACCAACCUGUUCAUGCCAGGAAGGUUACCCCAGAAGUAGCGGGCACGGUGGGCAGCAGACACUUCCUUGGCAUCGAUCAUCACUGGGUUGCACU